rnacentral:rRNA from 1 species
UACGUAGGGGGCAAGCGUUGUCCGGAAUCAUUGGGCGUAAAGCGCGUGUAGGCGGCUUCGUAAGUCCGUUGUGAAAGUCCAGGGCUCAACCCUGGAAUGCCGAUGGAUACUGCGGAGCUAGAGUCCGGAAGAGGCGAGUGGAAUUCCUGGUGUAGCGGUGAAAUGCGCAGAUAUCAGGAGGAACACCGAUGGCGAAGGCAGGUCUCUGGGCCAUAACUGACGCUGAGAAGCGAAAGCAUGGGGAGCGAACAGG